rnacentral:lncRNA from 1 species
UGGAUGCAUGUUUGAAGCUUAUUUUAGCUACGGCUUCAAGAUGGAACAAGAAGUCUACAGGCUUCACUUAAAUUGAGAACAAAGAGAAUAUGUACUUACCUAGCUCUCUCUUUUGGGUUUCACGUCAAGAGUUACUUGUUGGUACCUACCUAGCUUAAGUUUGGACCUAAGUGUUCUAAGUGUGUAACAUGUACUGUGAUGAGGAUGAUGUUGAACAUGAUUUGACUAGUUUUGUUAAUAUUUUUAAUU